rnacentral:rRNA from 1 species
GGGAUAUUGCACAAUGGGCGAAAGCCUGAUGCAGCAACGCCGCGUGCCUGAAUGAAGGCCUUCGGGUCGGAAAGGGCUUUUCGGGUCGAAGAGAAGGGACAGUAGACCCGGAAUAAGUGUCGGCUAACUACGUGCCAGCAGCCGCGGUAAAACGUAGGACGCGAGCGUUAUCCGGAGUUACUGGGCGUAAAGCGCGGGAAGGCGGGGGCACAAGUCGGCUGUGAAAGCGCCCGGCUCAACCGGGCAAGGCCAGUGGAAACUGUGUCACUGGAGGGCAGGAGAGGCGUGUGGAAUUCCGGGUGGAGUGGUGAAAUGCGUAGAGAUCCGGAGGAACACCAGAGGCGAAGGCGGCACGCUGGCCUGACCCUGACGCUGAUCCGCGAAAGCAUGGGGAGCGAAC